rnacentral:tRNA from 1 species
GAGGAUUUAGCUCAGUGGUAGAGCGCUUGCCUAGGAAGCAAGCGCAAGGCCCUUGGUUCGGUCCCCA